CAGCCGUAAACUAUGCGCGUUAGGUGUAUCGGUGACCACGAGUUACCGAGGUGCCGAAGGGAAACCGUGAAACGUGCCGCCUGGGAAGUACGGUCGCAAGGCUGAAACUUAAAGGAAUUGGCGGGGGAGCACCACAACAGGUGGAGCCUGCGGUUUAAUUUGGACUCAACGCCGGGAAGCUCACCGGAUAGGACAGCAGAAUGAUUGCUGGGCUGAAGACCCUGCAUGACUAGCUGAGAGGAGGUGCAUGGCGUCAGUGACU
rnacentral:rRNA from 1 species